rnacentral:ncRNA from 1 species
UAUAAAACGUCGAAGAGGAAAAGUAGCAUAAGGAUCGGUAUCUUCAGAGAGCCGUUAUUGCUGAGAAGCGGUGGUACCCCUUGUUGUGAACUCACCUCCGAGUGUCAAUAUGAAAGGAAUUUACUUCCUAGUAAUAUUGAUCGAGUGAUACCGUCACUCGUUAUCAAAAAUGAACGAUGAAUUCGUUCCUGAGGUGGUUAUUGUUAAAAUGGCCAUGAAAAAGGGUGGUACCGUGGAAAGAAACCUUUUCACCCCUUAC